CGCCGCAACGCGAAGAACCUUACCAAGGCUUGACAUAUACCGGAAAGCAUCAGAGAUGGUGCCCCCCUUGUGGUCGGUAUACAGGUGGUGCAUGGCUGUCGUCAGCUCGUGUCGUGAGAUGUUGGGUUAA
rnacentral:rRNA from 1 species